CUCGCCAAAAAGGCAAGAGCA
rnacentral:snRNA from 1 species